ACUCCUACGGGAGGCAGCAGUGGGGAAUAUUGCACAAUGGGCGCAAGCCUGAUGCAGCCAUGCCGCGUGUGUGAAGAAGGCCUUCGGGUUGUAAAGCACUUUCAGCGGGGAGGAAGGCGAUACGGUCAACAACCGUGUUGAUUGACGUUACCCGCAGAAGAAGCACCGGCUAACUCCGUGCCAGCAGCCGCGGUAAUACGGAGGGUGCAAGCGUUAAUCGGAAUUACUGGGCGUAAAGCGCACGCAGGCGGUCUGUCAAGUCGGAUGUGAAAUCCCCGGGCUCAACCUGGGAACUGCAUUCGAAACUGGCAGGCUUGAGUCUUGUAGAGGGGGGUAGAAUUCCAGGUGUAGCGGUGAAAUGCGUAGAGAUCUGGAGGAAUACCGGUGGCGAAGGCGGCCCCCUGGACAAAGACUGACGCUCAGGUGCGAAAGCGUGGGGAGCAAACAGGAUUAGAUACCCCUGUAGUCCCAUGA
rnacentral:rRNA from 1 species